rnacentral:lncRNA from 1 species
AUGCCAGAAAUCUGGAAAACUCAGCAGUGGCCACAGGACUGGAAAAGGUCCGUUUUCAUUCCAAUCCCAAAGAAAGGCAAUGCCAAAGAAUGCUCAAACUACCACACAAUUGUACUCAUCUCACACGCUAGUAAAGUAAUGCUCAAAAUUCUCCAAGCCAGCCUUCAGCAAUAUGUGAACCGUGAACUUCCAGAUGUUCAAGCUGAUUUUAGAAAAGGCAGAGGAACCAGAGAUCAAAUUGCCAAUAUCCACUGGAUCAUCGAAAAAGCAAGAGUUCUAGAAGACAUCUAUCUCUGCUUUAUUGACUAUGCCAAAGCCUUUGACAGUGUGGAUCACAAUAAACUGUGGAAAAUUCUGAAAGAGAUGGAAAUACCAGACCACCUGACCUGCCUCUUGAGAAACCUAUGUGCAGGUCAGGAAGCAACAGUCAGAAGUGGACAUGGAACAACAGACUGGUUCCAAAUAGGAAAAGGAGUACGGCAAGGCUGUAUAUUGUCACCUUGCUUAUUUAACUUAUAUGCAGAGUACAUCAUGAGAAACGCUGGGCUGGAGGAAGCACAAUCUGGAAUCAAGAUUGCCAGGAGAAAUAUCAAUAACCUCAGAUAUGCAGAUGACACCACCCUUAUGGCAGAAAGUGAAGAAUUAACGAGCCUCUUGAUGAAAGUAAAAGAAGAGAGUGAAAAAAUUGGCUUAAAGCUCAACAUUCAGGAAACGAAAAUCAUGGCAUCUGGUCCCAUCACUUCAUGGCAAAUAGAUGGAGAAACAGUAGAAUCAGUGGCUGACUUUAUCUUUUUGGACUCCAAAAUCACUGCAGAUGGUGACUGCAGCCAUGAAAGUAAAAGACACUUACUCCUUGGAAGGAAAGUUAUGACCAAUUUAGGCAGCAUAUUAAAAGGCAGAGCCAUUACUUUGUCAAUAAACGUCUGUCUAGUCAAGUCUAAGUUUUUUCCAGAGGUCAUGUUUGGAUGUGAGAGUUGGACUGUGAAGAAAGCUGAGCACUGA